rnacentral:rRNA from 1 species
AGUAACGCGUGGGUAACCUGCCUCAUACAGGGGGAUAGCAGCUGGAAACGGCUGGUAAUACCGCAUAAGCGCACGGUAUCGCAUGAUACGGUGUGAAAAACUCCGGUGGUAUGAGAUGGACCCGCGUCUGAUUAGCUGGUUGGUGAGGUAACGGCCCACCAAGGCGACGAUCAGUAGCCGACCUGAGAGGGUGACCGGCCACAUUGGGACUGAGACACGGCCCAG